UAGCGGGGUAGUGCCCGGAUGGUGUGACGCGAAAUGUAUUGUCUUCGGUCAUGAUCGGUCGCGGUUGAUUUGAACGCCAGUCAGUUGGAGUGUGAACUGGGUAGAAGAUCAUCGGAACACUUUCUCCGAUUUCAAACAUAAAAUGCCUUCGAUAUUUCGGUAAUCAAGUCAAAACUGCUGCAGCAGAAGCGGUGAUGUACCAUGAGGCCGGCCUAUGAGAUGUGGUAGCGAGAAUGGUUGGUGUCAGUCUGCACAAGGACGAGGACGCAGUGCUAAGUUUGCACCGAUAGAAUGACCAAUUGCAUUCCCCGCGACUGACUCGCGGCAUCAUUCCAUCGAUGUAACAAGUCCCCUGUCCUACUUCUCCAACCCACGGGACGAGGCCGCCAUGGAGACGAAAGUUAACUGUGGAUCAAGGGCACUCAUAUAUCAGGAUGAAUACGUGUAACAGUUUUAAAUGCCCCAGGAUGGAGUGUUCCGGGAAAGAAUGAUUGAUUUGCGCUUGAAGGUCAAGAGUCUCAGUAGACCCAUACCUUAGCCUGACAACAAUGAAUUAGGAAGGACACUUUUUCCAGAUGAACAUUCAAAAAUGCUACACCGGUACGAGAGCCUGCUGUCACCGGAGUUAGAGCCUGCUGAACAAUCUUUUGUAGAACAUCUCUCAAUAAUGUUUGUAUAUCGACAGAUCAAGACACCAUUGUGUCAGUAAGAUGAACAUAUCAUAUGAAGAAUGGAAA